rnacentral:lncRNA from 1 species
CUUUGCUAAUUUGUGACACAGUAAAUUUGAGUCGGUUUUUUGUCUUUUACCACAGCUUGUCGUACACAUUCACAUACAAUCCCAGACAAACAGCUUUUGGAACUGAAGAAGCAUUCAGCGGAAUUGGUGGUGGUGUACAGCGUAGCUUGACUAAUUAGGCCAGCAUUUACUGUGGUUAACGUGCAAUUUAUUCAAAGUGCAAGGAGGGAGAUGAUGUGUUUUCCCUAGCUGAGGGAGGAUCCCCAGGAGAUCAUACCAGCACUGACCAUGGAUAGGAACAACUCAGGGACAGCUCAGCAUCAUCUGCCCUUCCCUUUGCAUCAAGCUGGUGGAUACUGUGGCUGCAGAUAUAAAGCAAGCACUUUAGGAUUUCAUACAAGUGUCAGGAUGAGGAUUCAGAACAAGCACCCAGGGAAGACUUUUAAUUUUGAAAAAUGUGGAAGGGUUACCUGAGCAAUGGUUCAGGAGAAGACUCUAACCAGGGCAUCUCAAUGGCAUUUACUCUGCAGAGAAAGGGUGAAGUUUUCCCCCUGCUUCACUGAAUAGCUUUAAUACUGGUGUGUAGCUUAGCUAAGGAAAAAGAGAGUUCCUGUCACUCAAAAUAGUACUCUAAUCAUUGAG